rnacentral:rRNA from 1 species
AUACGGAGGGUCCGAGCGUUAUCCGGAAUCAUUGGGUUUAAAGGGUCCGUAGGCGGGAAUCUAAGUCAGUGGUGAAAUCUUGCAGCUCAACUGUAAAAUUGCCAUUGAUACUGGAUUUCUUGAAUUAGUGUGAAGUGGUUAGAAUGUGUAGUGUAGCGGUGAAAUGCAUAGAUAUUACACAGAAUACCAAUUGCGAAGGCAGGUCACUAACACUAUAUUGACGCUGAGGGACGAAAGCGUGGGGAGCGAACAGGAUUAGAAACCCUAGUAGUCC